UACGUAGGGGUCAAGCGUUGUCCGGAUUUAUUGGGCGUAAAGAGCGUGUAGGCGGCCAUGCAGGUCAGCUGUGAAAACUCGAGGCUCAACCUCGAGACGUCGGUUGAAACCGUAUGGCUAGAGUCCGGAAGAGGAGAGUGGAAUUCCCGGUGUAGCGGUGAAAUGCGCAGAUAUCGGGAAGAACACCCGUGGCGAAGGCGGCUCUCUGGGACGGUACUGACGCUGAGACGCGAAAGCGUGGGGAGCGAACAGG
rnacentral:rRNA from 1 species